ensembl:lncRNA
AGAACUGGAUUUUUUAAAACUCUAGAUGACUAAAAAUGCUUAAAACCACUAUUCUAACACGCAUUUAAUCCUUGAAACCCAGAAACAAUUCAAUGAGCUAUUUGGUUAAGUUAAAUGCAGUUCUUUGAAAUCUGCUUAAAUGCAUGGCUCACUACCCAAAGGUUCCAGAGAACUCCACUUGCCUGCUUGGGAAGCAGCAAACAAGGUCAGUAUUGAUAGCUUACGCUUCAGUGAGUGUAUCAAUUUAAAGCUUCAUCAGUGAUUCUCACUCAUCUGCACCCCUGCAUGGCUGUUGUCUUGCAAGAACGGGGUGACUUACGAACCUAUUAAGUAACUUCUUCACUUGUGCUCUAAUGAGCCUAUUGUUUCCCUGGAAGAACACAAACACCUGAGUACAAGCCACAAACAAGAGGCUGAAAAUUUCAGCCCUGCUUUUACCGAGAGACACUUUUUGUUUUGAUUCUCUGUGCUUUUGCUUUGCCAACCUAGCCAGGUACAAUUUUAUGCCAAGUCCUGAGUAGGGCUAUUGGGGUCCCGCUGUCCAAAAGAGCUCUGGUCACAGCUGACUCCUCUGCUGUGCAGGACGCAUGUGUGUGAUCUUUUGGAAUUUAAACUUCAGACACUUGUUCAUCUACUGUUCCUCCUGCCACCAGAAAGUGCAUCUGCAGUGAAGAUGACCACUUUUCAAGGAGCAUGCAUCUGCUGCAGUAGGGAGGGGGCACCAAGCCCACCCAUAAAGAGGGCAUCCAUGGUUGUCACAGCCAAGGAAGUUCUCCUCGUGCUCUACCCUGCAAAAGAAGGCUUUGACCCUGUUGUUCUGUCACCAUAAUUCAAGCACAGAAAGCAAGUCUCACACCUGGCUGCAAUAGCAGAAAGCAUAUUUUCUUUGCACUAUCGGAGGACUGUGACAGUUGGACCAUAAGGAAAGUUGAGUGCUGAAGAAUUGAUGCUUUUGAACUACGGUAUUGGAUAGGACUCUUUAGAGUUCUUUUAAAUGCAAGGAGAUCAAACCAGUCAAUCCUAAAGGAAAUAAACCCUGAAUAUUCAUUGGAAGGAUUGAUGCUGAAGCUGAAGCCCCAAUACUUUGGCCACCUGAUGCAAAGAACUGACUCACUAUAAAAGACCCUGGGAAAGACUGGAGGCAGGAGAAGAAGGGGACAACAGAGGACCAGAUGGUUGGAUGGCAUCAUUGACUCGAUGGACAUGAGUUUGAGCAAGCUCCGGGAGUUGGUGAUGGACACGGAAGACUGGUAUGCUACAGUUCAUGGGGUCACAAAGAGUUGGACACGACUGAACUGAACUGAAAGGAGGACUCAGUAACGUUUAUUCUCUAAUCCUGGUUUUGGUUACAUUAAAGAUAGAAAUAAAAGGGAUUACCCCUCUUAAGGUAAUAA